GAAACUAUUCUUCUUUUAUUGAAUCUCACAUUAUUAUUUACAAAUGCAAUAACAACUUAUUUAUACUAACUCAUAUCUCAACAGAAUUAAAAGCUUCACUAACAACUUAAGAACAGAACGUAAAACAUGAUUAACAGAUUUGCUGAGCUGGCUUCUUUACCCAACUAACUGCUGACUCAUCAUUGAACUAACUGCUGACUCAUCAUUGACACACAUGCUCAAUGAGCUUCCUUAACACU
rnacentral:lncRNA from 1 species